GUUUGUUUAGCCCUUAAUGCCCCAGACAUGGGUCUAAGCAUUUUUUUUCUUCCCUUUGAGACGAGUUUCACGAUGUUGUCCUGGCUGUCCUGGAAAUCGCUCUGUAGACCAGGCUGACCCGGAACUCAUGAGAUCCCUUGAUCUCUGCCUCCCAAGUGCCGAGAUUAAAGGAGUGCGUCACUACGCCCAGCCGGGGGCUAAGUAUUUUUUCCCCAUGAAUCUAUUCCUCAAACCCGGAAGCCAGGCAGACCACAGAAACUAGAAUUCCUCACACCCAAAGUGAGUCAUAGAAACUAGCACCCCCUAUCUAAAGCCUGUUCACAAACCUGGCCCUCCGCAAACUCCCCAGCCUUUUUGGGGAAGAGGUGCUCUCAUCUAUCUGCAUACCUCUAAUAGUAGGCUACAAGACCUUCAUCUCAGAGGGGGCCUGCCUCACACCCUGGAGGAAGAAGGACAGCUGGGCUUCCCCAUCAUACCCUGGAGGAAGAAGGGCAGCUGGGCUUCCCCAUCACACCCUGGAGGAAGAAGGGCAGCUGGGCCUUGCUGGGCCUCCCCAUCACCCUCUCCAUCAGACCACACUCUUGCCCAGUUGCAUUCUGCAUGGCUGUUUCUGCUUCAUCAAACGGGAGCAUGAAAAUGGAGAGCUCACUCAGGGUCUUCGGGCCUUCCUUCUAAAGUGACCUGUCAUAGAAAACUGAUUAAAUAAAUUCGUUACACUUCCA